rfam:Lepisosteus oculatus linkage group LG17, whole genome shotgun sequence.
AUUUAUAGCCAUAUCACCCUGCAACUCAGAACUAAUAACCCACUGAAGCUAAGCAGGUAUGAGCCUGGUCAGUACCUGGAUGGAAGACCUCCUGGGAAAAACCAAGGUGGCUGCUGGAA